AUUGAACGCUGGCGGCAGGCCUAACACAUGCAAGUCGAACGAGAGGCGGACGGGAGAGUAAUGUCUGUGAAACGGACUGAUGGAGGGGGAUAACUAAUGGAAACGGUAGCCAAUACCGCAUACCAUAAGAUGUGACCAGGUGGGAUUAGCUUGUUGGUGGGGUAACGGCUCACCAAGGCGACGAUCCCUACCUGGUCUGAGAGGAUGACCAGCCACACUGGAACUGAGACACGGUCCAGACUCCUACGGGAGGCAGCAGUGGGGAAUAUUGCACAAUGGGCGCAAGCCUGAUGCAGCCAUGCCGCGUGUAUGAAGAAGGCCUUCGGGUUGUAAAGUACUUUCAGCGGGGAGGCGUUACCCGCAGAAGAAGCACCGGCUAACUCCGUGCCAGCAGCCGCGGUAAUUC
rnacentral:rRNA from 1 species